rnacentral:misc_RNA from 1 species
UGAAGGAGGCACAGAAAAGCU